rnacentral:rRNA from 1 species
ACGGCUCAGUAACACGUGGGCAACCUACCCUAUGGAGGCGGAUAACCUUGGGAAACUGAGGGUAAUACGCCAUAGGCGAUUGAUACUGGAACGUUCUUUCGCUUAAAGCCUUCGGGCGCCAUAGGAUGGGCCUGCGGCGGAUUAGGCUGUUGGCGGGGUAAUGGCCCACCAAACCAAUUAUCCGUACGGGCUCUGAGAGGAGUAGCCCGGAGAAGGGUACUGAGACAAGGACCCUAGCCCUACGGGGUGCAGCAGGCGCGAAACCUUUGCAAUGCGCGAAAGCGUGACAAGGGGAUUCCACGUGCAAGCAAUGCUUGCUUUUCUAGAGUUUAAAAAGCUCUGGGAAUAAGGGCUGGGCAAGAUUCGUGCCAGCCUCCGCGGUAAUACGAACAGCUCAAGUGGUGUUCGUGAAUAUUGGGCCUAAAGCGUGCGUAGCCGGCUACGUAAGUCUCUUGUGAAAUCCUGCGGCUUAACCGUGGGAACUGCAAGAGAAACUGCGCGGCUUGGGGUCGGGAAGGGUUGGAGGUAUUCCGGGGGUAGGGGUAAAAUCCUAUAAUCCUCGGAGGACCUACGGUGGCGAAGGCGUCCAACUGGAACGAGCCCGACGGUGAAGCACGAAAGCUAGGGGAGCGACCCGGAUUAGAUACCCGGUUAGUCCUAGCCGUAAAUGAUGCAAGCUUGGUAUUGCGACCUCUACGAGGGAUCGCAGUGCCGUAGGGAAGCCGUUAAG